UGCUCAGUGUUUAUAAAUAGCCGCAGUAAUUUGACUGUGCAAAGGUAGCAUAAUCAUUUGCCUUAUAAUUGAGGGCUAGUAUGAAUGGAUUAACGAGAGUUUUUCUGUCUCUAAUCUAUAAUAAUAACUUGUAUUUAAUGUGAAGAUACAUUAAUUUUUUAGUGGGACAAGAAGACCCUUUUGAGCUUUAUUUAGAUUUUUUUUUUUUAAAAAAUUUUAAUUUGGUUGGGGCGACCUGUGAAGAUUAAAAUUUUUAGAUCUUCUUUUGAUAAUAAAGAACCAUUAAUUUUGGGUUUCAGAUUAAGUUACCAAAGGGAUAACAGCGUAAUUUUUUUUUAGAGUUCUUAUUAAAAAAAAAGAUUGCGACCUCGAUGUUGACUUAUGAUUUCCUUUUGGUGCAGUAGCUU
rnacentral:rRNA from 1 species